rnacentral:rRNA from 1 species
AUUGAACGCUGGCGGCAGGCCUAACACAUGCAAGUCGAGCGGGUGAAGGGAGCUUGCUCCUGGAUUCAGCGGCGGACGGGUGAGUAAUGCCUAGGAAUCUGCAUGGACGUGGGGGAUAACGUCCGGAAACGGGCGCUAGUACCGGAUACGUACUGAGGGAGAAAGUGGAGGAUCUUCGGAUCUCACGCUAUCAGAUGAGCCUAGGUCGGUUUAGCUAGUUGGUGGGGUAAAGGCCUACCAAGGCGACUAUCCGUAACUGGUCUGAGAGGAUGAUCAGUCACACUGUAACUGAGACACGGUCCAGACUCCUACGGGAGGCAACAGUGGGGAAUAUUGGACAAUGGGCCAAUGCCUGAUCCAGCCAUGCCGCGUGUGUCAAGAAGGUCUUCUGCUUGUAAAGCACUUUAAGUUUGGAGGAUGGACAGUAAUUUAAUACCUUGCUGUUUUGACGUUACCAACAGAAUAAGCUCCGGCUAACUUCGUG